GAUUUGAUUAAAGUUGCGUGAACGCAUAGUCCAAAUUAAUUUAAAAUUAUGGUCAUGUUACACAAACAUAUAUGAAACCACAAUCGUAUAUUAAACCUGCUAAAGCAAACUCCGAAAUUCGAGUUCAAAAGACAUUCAUAUAGUAGAAGGGUCCUAACGAUUUUACAUGCCCCUAAUACAUAAAACUAAACCUGAUUAAUAUUAUAAAGUUUAUACAGCCGAAAAAAGUGAGAAAGAGGACAAAUUGAAUUAAACUAAUAUAGACAUUGGAGAAACUAAACUAAAACACUGUUUCAAGUUGGGCAGUAUUUUAAUGGAAACAAAAGGCUGCUCAUCACACGAAUAGGCGCAUGAAACAUUCCAUGGCAAAUGAUGAAACAGCAGAAAAUGAUAUCGAAGAAAAAUGGUUUGAUCCCUGCCUCUAUAGCUUCUGAACAGAUGGAUGUAGAGAUUGCAAUAUUCUAAAAAUGAGUCAUUUUACUCAGCAAUUAUCUGAACGGCUAAAACAAGGGGAAGUCCAUGCUCAAGGAACUGAGCAAUGAAUUUGAAGAACGAUUGAGUCAUAUAAACAAGGAAUGGGUGGCAGAAAAGUAGAAAGGGAUCAAGGGACUGCGUUCACUUGACACAACAAAAGGGUAGGUAUAUUCAAAUAAAGCUAUGUACAAUGCAAUUGACCUUAAACGGAGAAAGAAACGACUAGGAUGCAGACAUAAUUAUCACUGAUUAAUCCAAAUCCAAACCCCUAACAGAAAAGAUAUCAAAUCGCCUGAAGAGAUAUCAAAUUGUCUAUCAUAGACUUAUUUUGAAAGAGGAAACCAACAGACACUUCCUGAAAAUUGCAUUUGAAUGCACCGGUCAUGGAAUUCCAGCUAACAACAACAACAACAACAACAACAACCCAGUAUAAUCCCAGUUAGUGGGGUCUGGGGAGGAUAGUGUGUACGCAGACCUUACCCCUACCCUUGGGUAGAGAGGC
rnacentral:lncRNA from 1 species